rnacentral:SRP_RNA from 1 species
GCCGGGCGCAGUGGCUUACGCCUGUAAUCCCAGCACUUUGGGAGGCAGAGGUGGGUGGAUUGCCUGAGGUCAGGAGUUCGAGACCAGCCUGGCCAACAUGGUGAAACCCCGCCUCUA